UUCAAAUCCUAGCCGAGGCAAACAAUUGCUAGGUGAUUUCUUCCCAUAUGCCUAAGAAUUGGUGGUUGAGUUACUUGAUACCGGUUCUUUUAGGAUUUAGCAGGUAUUAGGUGAAAUAGUUGAGGUGCGCAAAAGCUCGCCGGACGACCUCCAUUAUAUAUGUAAAAAAGAGAUGUAAGUGUAGCUUUUAUGGUAAUAUAAAGUAUUUGGAAUAAAUUGAGGUCAUACAAAGUGGCUAAUGAUUGAAUCAUUGGUCUGAUUCAUCUCUUAUGAAUAUAACAUUUUCCCCAUGAAUCUUCCAUAGGAACCCAGUUCCAUAAGAGCUGCUCUUGCAAUUACCAUUUAUAGAAGAGUUUCUUGUAAAACUAUACUCAUAAAAUGUAUAUAUUGUGGAAAAUGUGCAAAGCCUUCACAAUGAUGUCAAAGGCUUGUUUCUAUGUUUGCAAUCUUAUUAUGUUCAAUUAGUGUGCCAUAGGCCACUUUGCUAGUAUUGCGCUUGGAUUUCUUAUUCAUUAGUCAAUGCAGUGUGCAUCGACGGCUAAUAUCACUUCUUGUUUUCUUUAAUAUAAGCUACAACUAGAUUUAGGUCUGGCGCUUCCUUCCUUGUGAGCAGCAAUGCUUGUAUUUUUCGAGAAGAUGGUGCGAACACAUUUAUGAUACAUUGAUUACAAUUACUUUUUACAGUUCAGAGACUUGAUGUCUUGGGGCAGCUGGGUGGUACCCCAAGCUUUAUGUUGCAUCCACCAAAAGAAGAAAUGGUUGAAAAGUAUUUCCACCCAGAUAACAUGUCAUCUGAG